UCUGCGGGAACUUAGAGGUGAAUGCCUCGUCUUAGUCUUUCGAAGGUUAAGAUCAGGAAUCCUGUGGGUUGCCAGACUUCUGUAAAUUCGUUGAAAUAUAGAUGAAGUUCCAUCCUGAAGAGCAGAA